rnacentral:rRNA from 1 species
UGGAGAGUUUGAUCCUGGCUCAGGACGAACGCUGGCGGCGUGCUUAACACAUGCAAGUCGAACGGAAAGGCCCUUUCGGGGGUACUCGAGUGGCGAACGGGUGAGUAACACGUGGGUGAUCUGCCCUGCACUCUGGGAUAAGCCUGGGAAACUGGGUCUAAUACCGGAUAGGACCAUGGGAUGCAUGUUCUGUGGUGGAAAGCUUUUGCGGUGUGGGAUGGGCCCGCGGCCUAUCAGCUUGUUGGUGGGGUGAUGGCCUACCAAGGCGACGACGGGUAGCCGGCCUGAGAGGGUGUCCGGCCACACUGGGACUGAGAUACGGCCCAGACUCCUACGGGAGGCAGCAGUGGGGAAUAUUGCACAAUGGGCGCAAGCCUGAUGCAGCGACGCCGCGUGGGGGAUGACGGCCUUCGGGUUGUAAACCUCUUUCAGUAUCGGCGAAGCUCCGUGGUUUUCUGCGGGGUGACGGUAGGUACAGAAGAAGCACCGGCCAACUACCGUGCCAGCAGCCGCGGUA